AUUAUUUUAAACGUAUUUUUAUUGUAAAAAUAAAACCCGGAUACAGAAUCCAAUGGUUCUGAUGUACGGCUUAACUAAUUACUACAAAGUGAACUGCCUCCGAGACCAAGAAAAAGAACUUUGCCAGCCACAGCAGAAGUCUCUCCACGCGCCCCACCCCAGUCACUCCUUCCUCUUCCAUAAGUAGUCAUCCUUAUUCUGACUCACAGGACGCAUUAAUUGCGUUUUUAACAGCAAGUCCGCUGGAGGUGGGAGGCGCUCGGGGAAGCUUCUAGGGCCGUCAGGGCCCAUUCCCUCCGCUAACACCCCUCUCUCCCCAACCCUCAGGUUGCGCAAGACCUCUCCAGCCCGGCGAACCCGUGGGGCUCAGCAGUCCUCCUCCACGCUCAAGAUGCAGUUUGAUGCAAUCCUAGAGGACGCAGUUUCAAGUUUCUCGAGAUAGAGAAGCGAAAGAGGAUCCGAAACCGCGCUUCACAUCUGAAUCUGAUUUCAGAUUCCUCCGGAAUAUAGCGGAAGCGCGGGGUUGAGGGCGCAGACCGGGGCAGAGGAGAGGCGCGCAGGCCUGACAUUCACCAGCUCCUUGAAGACAAGAUCAUGCAGAUACUUUUCAGCACACACAUCUGGUCUCCCCGGCAAGUGCCCAGCUCUGGGCCUGUACCCUCCCAGCAGCACCACACAAGAUGGCCGACCUGAGCUCAUCAACUGCUCACUGGGGUCCCUCCCCUGACCCUAACCCUGCUUCAGUCACCCAGUAAGGGAUCCCUGGCAUGCAACAUGUCCUUGGCUCCAGAGGGGUUAGAUCCUUGGGGCUCCAGCAGGCAGAGCUGGAGCCUCGUGGCGUUUUGAGUACUCAUAGGGACGGUUUGGGUUGUUGCAGGGAUGUGGGAGGCACUGCUGGUGUUUGGGCCAGAGACCAGGACGGCCGAACAUCCUGCAAUGCUCAGAGCCGCCCUUUGGAACAACAACAACAAAAAAACUGUCCAAAGUAUUCUGAUUUUCAAAUGUCCCUUCUGUAGCGUCCCCUAGUUUGUCCCACUUUCUUUCCGUGUCCUGACCGAAAAUCUAGAGUGCCUUGACUGUUUCAUGACCCAACCAGCUGCAGGGCUUCCCAGCAGGCUUGAACCCAAACCAGGGCCUCGAACAUUCCCAGGCACUGAUAAAGAAGUCUAGGUUAUUGCCCAAAACCCUGAACAAAACUGGCCCCAGGCUUGAGCCCAAUUCCUUAAAGCCUCAGAAAAAUUCCACACCCUGACCUCAUGGCUGUGGACACACCUAGGUGGACCUCCCUUUCUCUCCUGGCUGCCUGAGGAUGUGCACGGCCCUGUGGAAGUGAGCUCCCCUAAUAAAAG
rnacentral:lncRNA from 1 species